GGUUCGGGAGCCAUCCGGUGGGACGGAUGGCGGGUAUGGAACCGCCCCCCUUAUCGCCAGGCGUUGCGCAGUGGGCCCCGACACUGCGCCGCA
rfam:Thioclava sp. SK-1 scaffold78_cov2157_read209_circular_cadidate, whole genome shotgun sequence.